AUACGUAGGGGGCGAGCGUUGUCCGGAAUUAUUGGGCGUAAAGCGCGCGCAGGCGGUUCUUUAAGUCUUGUGUUUAAUCCCGGGGCUCAACCUCGGUACGCAUGGGAAACUGGGGGACUGGAGUGCAGGAGAGGGAAGCGGAAUUCCACGUGUAGCGGUGAUAUGCGUAGAUAUGUGGAGGAACACCAGUGGCGAAGGCGGCUUCCUGGCCUGUAACUGACGCUGAGGCGCGAAAGCGUGGGGAGCAAACAGGAUUAGAUACCCUGGUAGUCCACGCCGUAAACGAUGAGUGCUAGGUGUCGGGGGUGUCAUGCCCUCGGUGCCGAAGUUAACACAGUAAGCACUCCGCCUGGGGAGUACGGUCGCAAGACUGAA
rnacentral:rRNA from 1 species